GACGAACGCUGGCGGCGUGCUUAACACAUGCAAGUCUACGAGAACGAGGUAGCAAUAUCUUUAUUAAAGUGGCGCACGGGUGCGUAACACGUAAGCAAUCUACCUUUGGGUCUGGAAUAACUUCGAGAAAUCGAGGCUAAUACCGGAUAAUGCAGCGGCACCGCAUGGUGAUGUUGUUAAAGUUUGAGUAAUGCCUAUAGAUGAGCUUGCGUCUGAUUAGCUAGUUGGUAGGGUAAAGGCCUACCAAGGCUACGAUCAGUAGCUGGUCUGAGAGGAUGAUCAGCCACACUGGAACUGAGACACGGUCCAGACUCCUACGGGAGGCAGCAGUGAGGAAUAUUGGGCAAUGCCCGCAAGGGUGACCCAGCAACGCCGCGUGGAGGAUGAAGGCCGUAAGGUUGUAAACUCCUGUUAGAGGAGAAGAACAGUACCGAUUGGAUCGGUAUUUGACUGUACCCUCAGAGAAAGCCCCGGCUAACUACGUGCCAG
rnacentral:rRNA from 1 species